rnacentral:misc_RNA from 1 species
UCCGGCUUCUCGCCGGCAGUCCUCUUCGAGUUCCCGGCAUAACCCGAUGGCAACUGGAGGCAAGGGUUGCGCUCGUUGCGGGACUUAACCCAACACCUCACGGCACGAGCUGACGACAGCCAUGCAGCACCUGUCUUGGGACUCCGAAGAGCGACCAUGGUUUCUCACGGUCUUCCCCAAGAUGUCAAGCCCAGGUAAGGUUCUUCGCGUUGCGUCGAAUUAAACCACAUGCUCCACCGCUUGUGCGGGCCCCCGUCAAUUCCUUUGAGUUUCAAUCUUGCGAUCGUACUUCCCAGGUGGAUUACUUAAUGCUUUCGCUCAGACACCAACAGUGUAUCGCUGAUGUCGAGUAAUCAUCGUUUAGGGCGUGGACUAC